UGGGGAAUAUUGCACAAUGGGCGCAAGCCUGAUGCAGCCAUGCCGCGUGUGUGAAGAAGGCCUUCGGGUUGUAAAGCACUUUCAGCGAGGAGGAAGGUGGUGAACUUAAUACGUUCAUCAAUUGACGUUACUCGCAGAAGAAGCACCGGCUAACUCCGUGCCAGCAGCCGCGGUAAUACGGAGGGUGCAAGCGUUAAUCGGAAUUACUGGGCGUAAAGCGCACGCAGGCGGUUUGUUAAGUCAGAUGUGAAAUCCCCGGGCUCAACCUGGGAACUGCAUUUGAAACUGGCAAGCUAGAGUCUCGUAGAGGGGGGUAGAAUUCCAGGUGUAGCGGUGAAAUGCGUAGAGAUCUGGAGGAAUACCGGUGGCGAAGGCGGCCCCCUGGACGAAGACUGACGCUCAGGUGCGAAAGCGUGGGGAGCAAACAGGAUUAGAUACCCCUGGUAGUCCACGCUGUAAACGAUGUCGAUUUUGGAGGUUGUGCCCUUGAGGCGUGGCUUCCGGAGCUAACGCGUUAAAUCGACCGCCUGGGGAGUACGGCCGCAAGGUUAAAACUCAAAUGAAUUGAC
rnacentral:rRNA from 1 species